rnacentral:rRNA from 1 species
ACGAACGCUGGCGGCGUGCUUAACACAUGCAAGUCGAACGGAGUGUUUACAAAAGCUCGCUUUUGCAACACUCAGUGGCGCACGGGUGAGUAACACGUGGGCAACCUGCCCGGAAGACUGGGAUAACACCUCGAAAGGGGUGCUAAUACCGGAUACCUUCACGAAGUCGCAUGACUUUGUGAAAGAAGAAUUCGCUUCCGGAUGGGCCCGCGUCCCAUUAGCUAGUUGGCGAGGUAACGGCUCACCAAGGCGACGAUGGGUAGCUG